UUUCCGUAGGUGAACCUGCGGAAGGAUCAUUAAAAAUGAAGCCGGGAAACCGGUCCUUCUAACCCUUGAUUAUCUUAAUUUGUUGCUUUGGUGGGCCGCGCAAGCACCGGCUUCGGCUGGAUCGUGCCCGCCAGAGGACACAACUCUGUAUCAAAUGUCGUCUGAGUACUAUAAAAUAGUUAAAACUUUCAACAACGGAUCUCUUGGUUCUGGCAUCGAUGAUGAACGCAGC
rnacentral:misc_RNA from 1 species